rnacentral:rRNA from 1 species
AGAGUUUGAUCCUGGCUCAGGACGAACGCUGGCGGCGUGCUUAACACAUGCAAGUCGAACGGAAAGGCCCCUUCGGGGGUACUCGAGUGGCAAACGGCUGAUUAACUGGUGGGUAAUCUCCCCUGCACUUCGGGAUAAGCCUGGGAAACUGGGUCUAAUACCGGAUAUGACCACGAGGCGCAUGCCUUGUGGUGGAAAGCUUUUGCGGUGUGGGAUGGGCCCGCGGCCUAUCAGCUUGUUGGUGGGGUGACGGCCUACCAAGGCGACGACGGGUAGCCGGCCUGAGAGGGUGUCCGGCCACACUGGGACUGAGAUACGGCCCAGACUCCUACGGGAGGCAGCAGUGGGGAAUAUUGCACAAUGGGCGCAAGCCUGAUGCAGCGACGCCGCGUGGGGGAUGACGGCCUUCGGGUUGUAAACCUCUUUUAGCAGGGACGAAGCGCAAGUGACGGUACCUGCAGAAGAAGCACCGGCCAACUACGUGCCAGCAGCCGCGGUAAUACGUAGGGUGCGAGCGUUGUCCGGAAUUACUGGGCGUAAAGAGCUCGUAGGUGGUUUGUCGCGUUGUUCGUGAAAACCGGGGGCUUAACCCUCGGCGUGCGGGCGAUACGGGCAGACUGGAGUACUGCAGGGGAGACUGGAAUUCCUGGUGUAGCGGUGGAAUGCGCAGAUAUCAGGAGGAACACCGGUGGCGAAGGCGGGUCUCUGGGCAGUAACUGACGCUGAGGAGCGAAAGCGUGGGGAGCGAACAGGAUUAGAUACCCUGGUAGUCCACGCCGUAAACGGUGGGUACUAGGUGUGGGUUUCCUUCCUUGGAAUCCGUGCCGUAGCUAACGCAUUAAGUACCCCGCCUGGGGAGUACGGCCGCAAGGCUAAAACUCAAAGGAAUUGACGGGGGCCCGCACAAGCGGCGGAGCAUGUGGAUUAAUUCGAUGCAACGCGAAGAACCUUACCUGGGUUUGACAUGCACAGGACGCCGGCAGAGAUGUCGGUUCCCUUGUGGCCUGUGUGCA